rnacentral:misc_RNA from 1 species
AUGAAUAAUCAUCGGCAGUGGAGUCAGGGCAAGAAGGAAGUGAUUGAAAAUGGAGAAAGAAGUAGACGAUCCACCUGUCGCAGUUGAAAUCGAUCAAACUGGGCAACGCAACAAUCUUAUUACCACUCGCAAUCCGAUUCAAAACGACCUCAAACGGAUGACGUUUCCGUUGGGGUGACCGUCAUCACGGGCUAUCUCGGUGCUGGCAAAUCC